rnacentral:rRNA from 1 species
CCUACGCGCGGCUGCAGUGGGGGAUAUUGCACAAUGGGGGGAACCCUGAUGCAGCGACGCCGCGUGGGUGAAGAAGCGCCUCGGCGCGUAAAGCCCUGUCAGCAGGGAAGAAAAUGACGGUACCUGAAGCAGAAGCCCCGGCUAACUACGUGCCAGCAGCCGCGGUAAUACGUAGGGGGCAAGCGGUAUCCGGCUUUACUGGGUGUAAAGGGGGCGCAGACGGCGAUGCAAGCCAGGAGUGAAAGCCCGGGGCCUAACCGCGGGACUGCUCUUGGAACUGCGUGGCUGGAGUGCAGGAGGGGCAGGCGGAAUUCCUGGUGUAGCGGUGAAAUGCGUAGAUAGCAGGAGGAACACCGGUGGCGAAGGCGGCCUGCUGGACUGCAACUGACGUUGAGGCCCGAAAGCGUGGGGAGCAAACAGGAUUAGAUACCCUUGUAGUC